rnacentral:lncRNA from 1 species
UGCUGAGUGACAGUUAUAUCAGCCGGACAAUUACCUUGCUCCCUACCUGAGCGUCUGUCCCACCUGGGGCCCUCAGAGAGCGAACCUGCUUGGGAGGCAGUUGCAAAUGCUCUUGACCGUGUCACCCGCCUCUGCCACCACAUCCUGGCUGACAUGCUCUUUCAAGAACUGCAGUCCCACUUCUCCAAAGUGAUGUGUCAGAAGUAGCUGAUGAGCUCUGAGGCUCUGGAUGGCAUUGUAGGGACCCUGGGAGCUCAGGCAUUGGCCUUCAGAAGAAUGCAUAACCAGCAUUACCAGAGACGGGAGAACUGAGGCUCACGAGUGAGGAAAGGGACUUCUCCCUAGGUCACACAGCAAGCCAUUGGCAGAGCUGGGAGCCAAGGCUGCUCCGGAGUUAGGGUAGGUCCCAUAGAAGUAAUGGAGGCUAUGCCUUGCUCUGCCCCGUCUCCACCUCUCUUCCCUCUAAACUUCUUCUUGGGGUGGCUGCUCAUGUAAUAAGGAAUGUAUGAUGAUA